AGUAGAGUUGUUGUGGAUUGGAAAUGGAGGUUUGAUUGAAGGUUUGGUUAAGGGAUCGGAAGAGGGAAUCGCGGUGAUGGUUAUGGAAGAAAAGUUGGUUAGAGAUGCGAUGGUGGGAAGAAGACGAUGGUGAGAAUUGGUUAUAGAUUUUUUUUGGCCCCGAAUUCGUUGUUAAUCAAGGUUACCGUUGGUUCGCGUUUUGGAGCUGGUGGCGUAUUUUCCUUUCAUUGCGUUGGCUAGCAGCUUGUCUUUGCGUUUGGUAGCAGCUGCAGUUUCUUGGUUUUGGAUGCACUUCGUAGCAGCCUGAAGUGUCGGCUUGGCUUCACUUGUUGGAUUUGGCUUGAUGGUUAUCGCAUUUCAUGGCUUACGGCUUACGUUUCUGCACUGCUUUUGUUGUGGUGAGCUGCGUUUCAUUGCUUUUGGCACUGCAUCUCUCGCGCGGUAGCUAUGGCUUGUAUUGGCUCUUUGGUAGCCGCUUUUUGCCAUGCACUUUGGCUUGCUUCUUUUUCCACAACAUUAUUUCCUUCAUUUUUCUUAAUGCACAUUAAUUAAUGGAUUAAUGAUAAGGGAUGUAAAAGGUGAAUUUUAGAUUCAAUUGGAAUUAAUGGAAAAUGGAUAAUUGGACUUG